UAUACAAGUUGCAAGAUGUCGACUCGACGUAGUCAAGCGGAUAAAAAUAUUGAUUCUAAAAAAUCUGACGUUAUCAUUAGUGUCGAUGAAUUAUUAAAAGAUCCAGUUCUUGUAGAAUCUGAUGUAGAUUUUAAAUGGCUGACAACAAUACUUGAUAACAUUUUAACUGAUAAAAGUAUAGAGCCGCCAGUCGAUUUAUUAAAUUAUAUGCAUGAAAAAGUAACAGACAACGAGAAGCGACGAGUGGUGAAAAUAUUCAAAAUUGCUUUGCAUAAACAAGAACUUGCUGAAAAAUUAAUGUUUAUAAUUAAUUUUAAUAGUUAUCGUAAAUUUCUCUUGACUUAUCUUCAAUAUUGUUAUGAACAUCGUGUAAAAUUUCUAAUGAAAAAACCAUCAUGUUUUUUUAAUUUUGUUACAAUAUUCGGUGAUUUUUUUUAUUUAUAUAAACUAUCAAGACAUGUUGCAGAGACUUUGCUAGCAUGUUUAGUAAUUUUGUUAGAUAUUGGUGAAAGUCAAGGAAAUGAAUUAGUAACAAUAGUGCUGUCAAAAAUUGGAUUAAAAAUGUCCAUUCGUUUUUCAACAAUAAACACAAAUCAUUUAUUCCAAAAAAUUCAUCAUACUUUUAAAAAUGGAGAUACAAGUUCACGAUCACGUACAUUUCUAUUGCUAGCGAUUGCGUUGAAUAAUCGAAAAUUUAUGCCUUUUUCUGAAAAUCAUUACUUAUUUAAAUUUUAUUCUAAAAAUUUGGGAGA